UGGUUGUUUUUUGGGGUUUUUUUGUAUUAAAACGACCGAGUAUCGAUAUCAAUGGUAACGAAAUAAGUUGACACCGCGUCUCGUCAAAACAUGUUCAAUUCGAAUUUACUCGGAAUUACACGGUCAACGAGCAUUUGCUGUGAAACCUGAUUAAAGGAAAAUUACUGUAGACACCUAAUAGUAAGUAUCAAAUGAUCUUUUUUGUUACAUGUACAUGUAGAUUUCAUAGCGUGAAUAAUAACAACACAACACCGAUAUAGGGGAUCAGAGUCAGUAUAUUAUUGACUCUGAAAAUACGAUUUGAGAAAUGAUACUGUAUAAAUUUUACUGUAUUUAUCUUGAUCAAUAAUUGCAUAUUCCUAUACGUAUUAAUCAUGUAAAGAUACUGAGGUCUUUUAACCAACAAUUUUAAAUGCUUGUGCCAGGGCCGUAAAUUACAUGGAGGCGGAGGAGGCAGCUGCCUCCUCCAACUUUUGAGCCAAAAAAAAAUUAAAAUUUAAAGUUCAUAUAGAAUUUAUGUUGUUUCCAAUAACUAAGAACAUGAUACCUCCCUUAAAAAGCAUUCCAAAUCUUUCUUUUAGAAUGAGUUAGUCAAGUAACAUCUUAGAAGGCCCUAGAAUCAAGGAUUUUGCACGAAACGUGUUCAGUGUGCACAAAAUGUGCUCAACGUCUGGGGGCCUGGGGCCCCAGACCCCCGCCUAAUUUCCUGCCUCCUCCAAAUUGAAGGUUAAUUUACGGCCCUGCAGUGUGCAAUACAUUAUUGACUGACAGAACGUAAUUCAUGAGCUGUGAUCUAAAAAUCUUCCAGACAUUAAUAUAGAUUUGAAUAGAAUUACAUCUAGAUACAUAUUUGAAAUGGAAUAUAUCCUAAGGCACUGUAGUUUUAAAUUGUUUGGAUUAUAUUGCAUUUACAUGUAAUUUAUACAUGCUUGUAAAUGCCACAGAAUGAGAAAUAAUCUAAAUUGGCCUAUUUUCAUAAUGUUCCCAAAAUAGAAGUAUCAUGUAGAUCUAUACAGGAAAUAACAUUUACAAAUCAUGUUUGUUGUUUGUUAUUUGCCAGUUAAGUAUCAUAAUGAUAAUACUAGUAUUUCAUGAUAAGUAAUUAUUAUGCUAAAAUCAAAUACCCUUUUUAUUGUCAACAAAUACAUCACUGGUAGAAAGGUUAUAAAGCUUUUAUCUAGCACAAGUUUCCAUAUUCUACAGGUUUACAUAUGUCAGCAAGUCCUCAAAAGCAGCUUUAGGGGUUCCCAGGAGAUUCUGAUGCUCACUGUUAGACUCUCACUGUUGUCAAAAUCCAACCUUAUUUUCUCUUUUCUCAAAAUUUCAGCUCUCAAAAACUUGUUUGAUUAAUUAUGUCACUCCUGUUUUGUUGAACAUGGUGUUGUCAGCAAUAGGUUCAAGUUCUUCUAUGUCUUGUUGUAGGUGAUUUGUACAGAAGUGAAUGAUGGCCUCUUUUGAAAUUAAGAUUUCAUGCCUUACUCCUACUGGGACUACAACUAACUUUGGACCUGGUCACUCGCAGAUACAGCAUGAAGUGUGCCCUCUUGAUGUACAUGGGGAUGGGAGUGAUACAGAAGGGGGACUAAUUGGAAGAACUGCUACUGCUGGUGGUGGUGCUGGACUGUCUUGAAUCUGUUGCCUAACCGACUUGAUAUUCUUCUGUUUAAUAUGGGAGCAACACACACACUCUGGCAUAUAUUGCACAGAAAAUCAUGAUCAGAUGGUGCCCUCCCUAUCAGAGUGGUGAUCACUGUCCUAUAUUUCUUUGAAAUCCUGGAUCUGUGUUUUGGUUUUACUCUCCAUGGACAGUUGAAACAGAGAAAGAAUUAGGGACCACUCCUUGGCAUAUCUGAAAUAUUUAUGUCAUAUACAUGUAAUUAAAAUAUACAAUUUGGGUUGGAUGAAAAUCUUAUCUUCAUGUUAAAACCCAUUAGCCUAGGUUAUUUUUCCUAAAAUCUAAUUAUAAAUCAAUUAACUUGUUAAUUAAUGCUUGGUGAAUCAAUUAAUAAAUUGUAUUCAAAAACUU